rnacentral:tRNA from 1 species
GGGAAUGUAAUUCAAUGGUAGAAUAAUCGACUCUUAAUCGAAAGGUUGCAGGUUCAACUCCUGUCAUUCCCACCA